GUAGGUGGCAAGCGUUGUCCGGAUUUAUUGGGUUUAAAGGGUGCGUAGGCGGUUCCAUAAGUCAGUGGUGAAAUACAAUAGCUUAACUAUUGAGGUGCCAUUGAUACUGCGGAACUUGAGUACAGACGAGGUAGGCGGAAUUACGGUGUAGCGGUGAAAUGCUUAGAUAUCGUCAAGAACACCGAUAGCGAAGGCAGCUUACUAGACUGUAACUGACGCUGAGGCACGAAAGUGUGGGGAUCAAACAGGAUUAGAUACCCUGGUAGUCCACACUGUAAACGAUGAUUACUCGAUGUUGGCGAUACACAGCCAGCGUCUUAGCAAAAGCGAUAAGUAAUCCACCUGGGGAGUACGCCGGCAACGGUG
rnacentral:rRNA from 1 species